GUCAGGAUGGCCGAGUGGUCUAAGGCACCAGACUCAAGCUUAGGCUUCCCCCUCUGGGGGUUCGGAUCUCCAAAUGGAGGCAUGGGUUUGAAUCCCACUUCCGACA
rfam:Papio anubis isolate 1X1155 chromosome 4, whole genome shotgun sequence.